rnacentral:rRNA from 1 species
CCUACGGGGGGCAGCAGUGAGGAAUCUUGGUCAAUGGGCGCGAGCCUGAACCAGCCAAGUAGCGUGAAGGAUGACUGCCCUACGGGUUGUAAACUUCUUUUAUAAAGGAAUAAAGUGAGGCGCGUGUGCCUUUUUGUAUGUACUUUAUGAAUAAGGAUCGGCUAACUACGUGCCAGCAGCCGCGGUAAUACGGAGGAUCCGUGCGUUGUCCGGAUUUAUUGGGUUUAAAGGGAGCGUAGAUGGGUUGUUAAGUCAGGUGUGAAAGUUUGCGGCUCAACCGUAAAAUUGCAAUUGAUACUGGCAGCCUUGAGUACAGUUGAGGUAGGCGGAAUUCGUGGUGUAGCGGUGAAAUGCGUAGAUAUCGCGAAGAACUCCGAUUGCGAAGGCAGCUUACUAGACUGCCACUGACAUUGAUGCUCGAAAGUGUGGGUAGCAAACAGGAUUAGAUACCCCUGUAGUC